rnacentral:rRNA from 1 species
UACGAAGGGGGCGAGCGUUGUUCGGAUUUACUGGGCGUAAAGGGCGCGCAGGCGGCUCAUUUUGUCAGGCGUGAAAGCCCCGGGCUUAACCUGGGAACUGCGUUUGAUACGGAUGGGCUAGAGUUCGGGAGAGGAGAGUGGAAUUCCCAGUGUAGAGGUGAAAUUCGUAGAUAUUGGGUGGAACACCGGUGGCGAAAGCGGCUCACUGGCUCGGUUCUGACGCUGAGGCGCGAAAGCGUGGGGAGCAAACAGG